ACUGGUAAUUAGUUUAAUUAAAACAAAUGAUUUCGACUCAUUAAAUUAUGACACAUGUCAUAAUUACCAAAAA
rnacentral:tRNA from 1 species